rnacentral:rRNA from 1 species
UACGGAGGGGGCUAGCGUUGUUCGGAAUUACUGGGCGUAAAGGGCGCGUAGGCGGCGCGAUAAGUUGGGCGUGAAAGGCCCGGGCUCAACCCGGGGACUGCGCUUGAUACUGUCGCGCUGUGAGUCCGGGAGAGGAUGGCGGAAUUCCCAGUGUAGAGGUGAAAUUCGUAGAUAUUGGGAAGAACACCGGUGGCGAAGGCGGCCAUCUGGACCGGCACUGACGCUGAGGCGCGACAGCGUGGGGAUCAAACAGG